UACGUAGGGGGCAAGCGUUGUCCGGAAUCAUUGGGCGUAAAGAGCGUGUAGGCGGCUCGAUAAGUCCGCUGUGAAAGUCCAGGGCUCAACCCUGGAAGGCCGGUGGAAACUGUCGGGCUAGAGUCCGGAAGAGGCGAGUGGAAUUCCCGGUGUAGCGGUGAAAUGCGCAGAUAUCGGGAGGAACACCAAUGGCGAAGGCAGCUCGCUGGGACGGUACUGACGCUGAGACGCGAAAGCGUGGGGGAGCAAACAGG
rnacentral:rRNA from 1 species